rnacentral:rRNA from 1 species
GAUUAUGGCUCAGGAUGAACGCUGGCGGUAUGCUUAACACAUGCAAGUCGAACGCAAUUUCGGAUUGAGUGGCGGACGGGUGAGUAACGCGUGAGAAUCUAGCUUCUGGUCUGGGAUAACUACUAGAAAUGGUGGCUAAUACCGGAUGUGCCGAAAGGCGAAAGGCUUGCUGCCGGGAGAAGAGCUCGCGUCCGAUUAGUUAGUUGGUGGGGUAAGAGCCUACCAAGACGGUGAUCGGUAGCUGGUCUGAGAGGACGAUCAGCCACACUGGGACUGAGACACGGCCCAGACUCCUACGGGAGGCAGCAGUGGGGAAUUUUCCGCAAUGGGCGAAAGCCUGACGGAGCAAUACCGCGUGAGGGAGGAAGGCUCUUGGGUUGUAAACCUCUUUUCUCUGGGAAUAAGAAAGUGAAGGUACCAGAGGAAUAAGCAUCGGCUAACUCCGUGCCAGCCGCCGC